GGGUGGGUUUUAGUUUUAUCCGUGGAGAAUUUCUGUAAUUGAAUCCUUUGGAUUAGCUGGAUCUGACCUGGUCCAAUGUGUUCUGGAAGUUAAGUCCUCCAGUGUGCCAAAUCGCAAUAUUCAUUCCGAAUUCCGCUCGGAACAGCCUCAAAUUUGAGGUGGCAAAUCUGAAAGGAAAUAUGAACGCCGAAACAUAACGCGAAGUAUACGAGUCAGCAGCUCAGCAACUGACGUCAGUUAUUGCUGCUGAUUUCAGCUCAUAAGUAAGCUGAUUGCAGACUUCAAAAGGCUUGGCAAUUGUUUUGUUCGAUUAGUCGAUGAGUAAAUGACACCGAAACACUGUGCCAGAUGCUUCGAACAGCUUCUGAUAUGGACGAAUAGCAAACAAUACGAGAGUCAUUUAGACAUUUGAAUAAAAAAAACAGUGUUUUUUUCUUGAAGAAGUUAUGUAAUACACCCCAAUGUAUAUAGAAUGUGUGAAACACAAUUACCAGCAGAACGAUUUAAAUUCCACAUUGAUGACUUCAUCGUUAAAAUUAAACAUUAUACAUGUUCACAAUGAUGAUCACAUUGAUAAGAUAUAAUUGUUGUGUUAUGAUUUGAGGCUUAACGGGCAUUACCAAAUCGUUAAAACUGUAAACAAAUCACACUAUUUAUGAAAGAAUCACAGUUAUAUAUGUCAUCCGGUUUAACAUGUUAAUCAAUCAAUGAGUUGCAUUUGGAUACAUGACUUCAAUGGAGACAAAAGUUUACAUUUAUUGGGAAAAACGAACCAGAGAAAUUAUAUUCCAUAAAUUAUAUUGCUUGUAUUGGUGUAACAUAUGAAUUCUUUUAUACACGAAUGAAGGCGUGUUCCGUUCACCAUUUGACUUUUGAUUUCAUUUCGUUCGUUCGUUCACACACAUUUAUACAUACACAUAAACACAGUCGAUUGUAGUGUCACAGUCGCUAACACAAAUUUGCAUAUAUAUAUAUAUAUAAUAUUUUCUUCAUAUCCUUUCAACACCACAUACAAUUGAAUUAUUUUUUCAAAAGGAAUAAUCGAUACUUUGUUUAUUAAAAUAAACGGUAUUUUAAACAGAUAAGCCAGUAUUACACUUACCCAUUUUGUUUGUGACACAAAUUAUGAUUAUGUUUUUAAUGAAUACUUCUGUCUACACAAUCAAUAUCUUCAUUCCAAAUAAGGUGCAUAAAGCUAAAUGCAUGAAAUUUAAAAUAGUUUCAAUGAUUCUAUUUUUCAAAUUUUUGUUUCACACUUUUUCUUUAAUGAUCGGAAGCCCGAUGUUUCUAUUCAAUUUUUUCUUUGCAAUCGUUUCUCACUGUAAGUAGAUUUUGUUUAAUAUUUGUAUGAAUAUACAAUUUUGCAGAAAAAAAAAUCACUGGAAAUUACAAUUGUUCAUGGCCGCUAACUAAUGUUGAAAGAAAACAAAAUGAAUAUACACAGAAACUCGAAAGUUCAUAUAAUAGACUAGCAGAUGAUGUAAUAUGUAGCUAGACUAGAGUAGAGUACUAAAUAAAGUACACAGUGAGAAUAAGAAGCUGUCAGUGUAUUUAUAUGUGUGUGAGUUUAUAUGUUUUAUUUUGCGCAUGUAUUUGACAUGACAAAUACAUCGGAAUAGGCCAUCACAUCAGUUGCUUGAAAAAAUUAAUUGUUUUUUUUUUAAAUCUAUAGAUUCAUAUAUCUUUAUAAUGAAAGUUAGUUGUCAAA